AUCACUAGUCUGCACAUAGCACAUGUCGCAUUGACCCUAGUACAUUUCAGCAGACUCAACUAUAAAAUGUCUCUUUACUGUGUGAGAUGCAGAAAAAAUACACCAUCUAAAGGUGUAAAGACUAUAGUAGUCAAGGACAAAAAAGGGACUAGACAUGAGACGAAAGUGGGUUUUUGUUUAACAUGUGGAUCUGAAAAACGACAACAGAUUAGCUGAAUUUGUUACAUUAUAUCGCUUAUUAGCAAACUACAUCGCAUUCUGGAUAACUAAUUAAUAUGGAACUUUGAAAUUAUUUCUUUGAUAUAGUUGGUACAUUAUCUUGAAUAAUACACAAUUGUAUAUUAUCUAAAGUUUAUAAUGCUUUGAAAAUCUAUCUUAUUGAUUAUUUCAUGUAAUUGUGAAGAUUCCUUUGUGCAUUGGAAUAAUAUUCAUGAUGAACAUAAAUUGUGAACAUUCUGUUAACAAAAUGCAUAUAUUUUAAAUAUAGUAUGCAAACGUAAUUUAUAGUUUAAAUCGUUUUCAUUGCGAGACUGAUUACGGAAAUAUGCAAGUUUUUUUAAAACAUGUUUCAUAGAAAUAGCUUUCAAAAAAAUAAAUGUGUCUUAUUCAGAUUGACAAAAGUAAAAAUUAACAGUUCCGUUUGUAUUUCUGUUUCUAUGUUAUUACAUAUUGAUUAAUAGUUUUAGAAAUUAUUUUUUUUUUGCGAACAUUUGUGUAACAAAUUAACAAAGAUAAUACAUAUAUGUGAAAUGCAUUAUGGAAAGGAGGCUUAUAAUUAUGAUGCUGUGCAGGUUCAUCACCAUUUUAUUUAAAACAUGUGCAGUUUAUUGUUCUUUCUAAAUAAAACUAUCAAUCUAAGAAUAAUAAAAUUUAAUUCUCUCUCAAA